UACGAAGGGGGCUAGCGUUGCUCGGAAUCACUGGGCGUAAAGCGCACGUAGGCGGAUUGCUAAGUCAGGGGUGAAAUCCUGGAGCUCAACUCCAGAACUGCCUUUGAUACUGGCGAUCUCGAGUCCGGGAGAGGUGAGUGGAACUGCGAGUGUAGAGGUGAAAUUCGUAGAUAUUCGCAAGAACACCAGUGGCGAAGGCGGCUCACUGGCCCGGUACUGACGCUGAGGCGCGAAAGCGUGGGGAGCGAACAGG
rnacentral:rRNA from 1 species